GAUGAACGCUGGCGGCGUGCCUAAUACAUGCAAGUCGAGCGAACGGACGAGAAGCUUGCUUCUCUGAUGUUAGCGGCGGACGGGUGAGUAACACGUGGAUAACCUACCUAUAAGACUGGGAUAACUUCGGGAAACCGGCGCUAACACCGGAUAAUAUUUUGAACCGCAUGGUUCAAAAGUGAAAGACGGUCUUGCUGUCACUUAUAGCUGGAUCCGCGCUGCAUUAGCUAGUUGGUAAGGUAACGGCUUACCAAGGCAACGAUGCAUAGCCGACCUGAGAGGGUGAUCGGCCACACUGGAACUGAGACACGGCCCAGACUCCUACGGGAGGCAGCAGUAUGGAAUCUGCCGCAAGGGGCGAAAGCCUGACGGAGCAACGCCGCGUGAGUGAUGGAGGUCUUCGGAUCGUAAACCUCUGUUAUUAGGGAAGAACAUAUGUGUAAGUAACUGUGCACAUCUUGACGGUACCUAAUCAGAAAGCCACGGCUAACUACGUG
rnacentral:rRNA from 1 species